rnacentral:rRNA from 1 species
UACGGGGGGGGCAAGCGUUGUUCGGAAUUACUGGGCGUAAAGGGCUCGUAGGCGGCCAACUAAGUCAGACGUGAAACCCCUCGGCUUAACCGGGGAACUGCGUCUGAUACUGGAUGGCUUGAGAUUGGGAGAGGGAUGCGGAAUUCCAGGUGUAGCGGUGAAAUGCGUAGAUAUCUGGAGGAACACCGGUGGCGAAGGCGGCAUCCUGGACCAACACUGACGCUGAGGAGCGAAAGCCAGGGGAGCAAACGGG